rnacentral:tmRNA from 1 species
GGGGACGCGUGGGCUCGACAGGGGAUGGCCUUGCAGGACAGCAGGCCGAGGUGCCGUCGCCCUCGUAAAACAGACGGCGAAAAAGUAACUGGCGAGCGUGCACUCGCUCUGGCGGCCUAAGUCAGGCCGUCUGUCUGCCCCGCCUUCCCCUGAGGGGUGGGCGCAGGCACCAGAACCUCAGGGUGCAGCCUCCCCCGACGCCGAUAGGGGGAUGCCCAAGACCGUCUCGGCUGGCCCAAAGGGGGCCUGUCGGUGGGCACCCGGCGGGCGAGAAAGAGACCACCGACUAAGCCUGUAGCCGGUCCUCGUGGGGAGUCCUCUGGACGGGGAGUUCAACUCUCCCCCGUCUCCACCA